CUCUUCCCUCGGGACAAGCAUCUAAAAUAAAUUAACAUAAAAAGUUCCUCCCCUUACCAGGUAUAAGAGACCAAACCAGCCCUGGGAUCUCAGUUCUCUUUCUUGUUCCAUCAGGAAUAGACGGCAUCUGGAAUGAGAUGGUGAGGCACAUGGGUUUCUGCCAGGGGGAUCCGGUCUGAUAGCGUCCCUGGUGGAGAGCUGAAUGGCCAGCAAGCAUCCUACAGGAUUACGGAGCAGGUAUGG